CGACAGCGAUAUGGAGCAAGGAAGUGACUGGUCUUAUGGAACCACCUCAAUUUGCCUUUAAGUCAAAGUGGCCUGUGGAAAUCCCAAGGAUGAGUCAAGAAUCUGCUGAGGAGAUAAGCCCCUGGGUAUAGUCAAAGGAAACCAAGUAGAACUCAGGCCUUCUUCAGCAGACAUAUGCAGCUCCUCAGGGACUGAGAAAGCAUCUGGCUAGCUUGGUCUGUACAGUAGCCUCCCUAACCUGGGAUUUUGUGUGUGUCUCUUGUGUGGUGGAAUGUUGUCCCCAGACCAUGGACUGGAUGUGCAGCAAUGCAUAUCAAAGCCAAAAGGUGAUGCCUCAAACAAGACUUACUUCUGUCUGAGUGUGCCCUCAUUGGAUCCUCCAGGACAAUAGAGUGAAGAAGGCAGCAGAGUUUUAACUGACUUUUGCAAAGAUGAAAAUAACUUGUGCAAGGUUGCAUGCCUAGCAAGUAGAGGCUUGGGGGUAGAGUCUAAGUCUUCUGGCUCCUUUUGUGAAUUUUUGUCUGAAAAAGAAGUGGGCUGCUUUGUGAGCUCCACAGAUCCCGAUGGAGACCAAUGACUAUGAAUCAAUCCACUUAAGAAUCUCUGGAGCCCAAAUAUGUCCCGUGAAGAACUCCUGCUGCACUACUGGUUGAAAAAUUGGUUGGUCCAUUUUUCUGGAGUGUAACUUGGACCCAUGUAUUUGAAAAAGAUACCGAUAGGAUUUGACCAAUUAUUUUCACUUUGAGGAGCAUAUCUUAAAGAAAUAAUCAGAAAUGUACACCACUUUAAAAAGUUAAACACAGAGUUACCACAUGACCCAGAAAUCCCACUCCUGAGUGCAUACUCUAGAAAGUGAGAAAUGUGUCCACACUAAAAUAUUGUGAAUGAAUGUUUGUACCUACAUUGUUUAUCAUAGCCAAAAAGCAAAAACAACCUAAUGUUCAUCAUUGGUUAAAUAGAAAUCAAAAUAUACUAUAUCUGUAAGAUGAAAUAGUAUUUGUCAAUAAAAAGGAAUGAAUAUUGACAGAAGAUAGAAUAUGGAUGACCUUUGAAAACAUUAUGCUAAGGAAAAGAAACCAGCCAUACUGUAUGAUUCUGUUUACAUGAAAUAUCCAGAAAAAAUAAAUUUAUGAAGAUAAGAAUAGGUUAGGAUUGCUUAGAUCAGGGGUAGGAAAGUGGUAGUGGUCAGAAAUUGUGAUUAACUGAUAAUAAGCAUGACAUUUAUUUUAGAGGGAA
rnacentral:lncRNA from 1 species